rnacentral:rRNA from 1 species
CAGCCGCCGCGGUAAUACGAAGGGUGCAAGCGUUACUCGGAAUUACUGGGCGUAAAGCGUGCGUAGGUGGAUUCUUAAGUCGGAUGUGAAAUCCCUGAGCUUAACUUAGGAAUUGCAUUCGAUACUGGGAAGCUAGAGUAUGGGAGAGGAUGGUAGAAUUCCAGGUGUAGCGGUGAAAUGCGUAGAGAUCUGGAGGAAUACCGAUGGCGAAGGCAGCCAUCUGGCCUAAUACUGACGCUGAGGUACGAAAGCAUGGGGAGCAAACAGGAUUAGAUACCCCAGUAGUCCCUGUCUCUUAUAC